UACGAAGGGGGCUAGCGUUGCUCGGAAUCACUGGGCGUAAAGCGCACGUAGGCGGACUCUUAAGUCAGGGGUGAAAUCCUGGAGCUCAACUCCAGACUGCCUUUGAUACUGAGAGCCUUGAGUUCGGGAGAGGUGAGUGGAACUGCGAGUGUAGAGGUGAAAUUCGUAGAUAUUCGCAAGAACACCAGUGGCGAAGGCGGCUCACUGGCCCGAUACUGACGCU
rnacentral:rRNA from 1 species